AAAUCGCUCGCAUAGCUGCCAGCAGCUGGUGCUUGGCAUUUUUCACAAAGUAUCGGGUUGUUGAGCGUUGCGGACGUGUGUUGACCUGAACGCGGGCGUCAAUCGGAUAUUAAAGUGAAAGAAAAAUAAAUUCAAUAAAACUUAAAAACAGCUAAGUAGCAAUUUGAGGAAUUGGACAAAUUGACAAAAAAAUUUGUAAAAAAUACGUAAAAGGAAAUAAAUAAAUCAUUAAAAGAAAAUAAAUAAAUAAAAUUAUCUAAAAAAUAGGUGUUUAGCUAAGAACACAAAAACAAUAACAAAUAUACAUUCAACAAAGCGAUUAGCGGCUUGGCGCUUGUGUAAAUUUAUUUGAUUUCAGCCAGCUGUUGAGUACUAAAAAAGUAAAGGGCAAUUAAACGCCGAUAAAAGCAAAAACAACCUACAAAACAGAAGGCCAAGUAAAAGCAAAAUAACAAUAAAAGAAAAACAACCAAAAGCAAACAUAAAAUACUGUAAAAUAGAAACAAAAAAAUUAAAAAAAACAUGCGUUAAAAAUUCCAAAAUUACAGCUGUGCAAUAUCCGCAUAUAUUGAGGAAAUACCAUCACUCCAACACAUACAUCAAAACACACACACGUACAUGGCAGCUUAAACAGCUGUAGGCAGUCAACAAUAACUCCUACGCAACGCAGAAACUACAAAGAAAAAAUUGUGUGAAAUUUCACAGAAAAAUUUCGUUGAAAUCAAAAAAAAAUUUAUAAAAAUAAAAAAAGAAUAUUGCGAAUAUUCGCAAUCAAAUGAAUUAAACAAUAAUAAUAAAAUAUGCCAAAGUGAUUUGUAUACAAUACUGUAACCAAGCGUUGAAGAGUGCGAGUAAAAUGGCUAAGUAAACAAAGGUAAGGAAAAUUGCGAAAAAAGUUGUGAAAAAAAACAAUAAAAAUAAACAUUGUGAGGGAAAUAAAAGGAAAUACAUAAAAAAAUCGAUGGGCAAUAAAAUCGAUUGAAUAAAUAUAGCUGUCUGUGUGUGAGUGACGAUAUUUAGUGGGGGAAAAAUUGCGAAUAGCUGAAGGUGUGUCAUAAAACCUAGUUUAAAUAAAACAAUUAGGAAUAGCGAGCGAGAGUGUUGAAGAUAUGUUGAAAGUGGCAAUCUCCGUAAUUAAUAACUAAAAAUAAAUGAAAUGUUAACUGAAAAAUAAAUUAAAAAAAAAAAACUGCUGUAUAUAGUUGUGAAGCAA